AUUUUCACCUAAAAUAUGUUUGUUGACAAAAAUGUUAUUUGGUUUGUUCAAACAUUGAUAAUAAGUGAAAUAUUGAAAUUGAGAGAGAAUGUUUUCAAUAUUUUACGUUCGACUUACAGUUUAGCAUUGAUGAUAUACAUAUUCACCUUUAUUUAUUUAUUUUAAAUAGUACACCCCAUACCAGACAACAUAGGAAUAUCAACGGUAUCUUUACACAGAGCAAAGAAAAAAAGAACGUUACAACGUACAGAUAUGCAUCUCAAA
rnacentral:lncRNA from 1 species